UACGAAGGGGGCUAGCGUUGUUCGGAAUUACUGGGCGUAAAGCGCACGUAGGCGGAUAUUUAAGUCAGGGGUGAAAUCCCGCAGCUCAACUGCGGAACUGCCUUUGAUACUGGGUAUCUUGAGUAUGGAAGAGGUGAGUGGAAUUCCGAGUGUAGAGGUGAAAUUCGUAGAUAUUCGGAGGAACACCAGUGGCGAAGGCGGCUCACUGGUCCAUUACUGACGCUGAGGUGCGAAAGCGUGGGGAGCAAACAGG
rnacentral:rRNA from 2 species